CUGUUCAAGUUCCCAGUGCACCCUCAUCUUUACACUGAGUGCUGCUGGGCUGUGUUGGUGACUCUUCCUUUGCAACUUUUCACUUAGAGGUACUCAGGACCAGACAUGACUGCAAUGGAUGCCAUAUGAACCACCUGCAACUGCCCCAUCCCCGUGCCAGGGCUCUGGAGCAGACACUGGCCGAGAGGUCAAAGCAGAUGUUGAUAACGAUAAAUGCUGAGAUUAAACCCAGAAGAAUCAGUCAUUUUCCUUAUGUCCUCCAAAUAAAUUCUAUUCCCAUUGAACAGGGGCUCAUUAUCACAGCAUUAUGAGAGGAGGGAUGUUGCCAUAUAACUAAUGUGAUGAUUUCAGGUACAGUUGCUGAUGCCUGAUUAAACAUCUCUGGGAUCAAGCAGA